rnacentral:rRNA from 1 species
ACGUAGGUGGCGAGCGUUGUCCGGAAUUAUUGGGCGUAAAGCGCGCGCAGGCGGUUAUGUAAGUCUGAUUUUAAAUUUCGGGGCUCAACCCCGUGAUUGAUUUGAAACUGUAUAACUUGAGUACAGUAGAGGUAAGCGGAAUUCCCAGUGUAGCGGUGAAAUGCGUAGAUAUUGGGAGGAACACCAGUGGCGAAGGCGGCCUACUGGGCUGUAACUGACGCUGAGGCGCGAAAGCGAGGGGAGCAAACAG